rnacentral:rRNA from 1 species
GAUGAACGCUGGCGGCGUGCCUAAUACAUGCAAGUCGAGCGAACAGAUAAGGAGCUUGCUCCUUUGACGUUAGCGGCGGACGGGUGAGUAACACGUGGGUAACCUACCUAUAAGACUGGAAUAACUCCGGGAAUCCGGGGCUAAUGCCGGAUAACAUUUAGAACCGCAUGGUUCUAAAGUGAAAGAUGGUUUUGCUAUCACUUAUAGAUGGACCCGCGCCGUAUUAGCUAGUUGGUAAGGUAACGGCUUACCAAGGCAACGAUACGUAGCCGACCUGAGAGGGUGAUCGGCCACACUGGAACUGAGACACGGUCCAGACUCCUACGGGAGGCAGCAGUAGGGAAUCUUCCGCAAUGGGCGAAAGCCUGACGGAGCAACGCCGCGUGAGUGAUGAAGGUCUUCGGAUCGUAAAACUCUGUUAUUAGGGAAGAACAAAUGUGUAAGUAACUGUGCACGUCUUGACGGUACCUAAUCAGAAAGCCACGGCUAACUACGUG